AACCAAGGUGGGCAUAAGAGCAUCUCUGAACGCACAGUACGUCGAACUUUGAGGCAGAUGGGCUACAGCAGCAGAAGACCACACCGGGUGCCACUCCUUUCAGCUAAGAACAGGAAACUGAGGCUACAAUUUGCACAAGCUCAUCGAAAUUGGACAAUAGAAGAUUGGAAAAACGUUGCCUGGUCUGAUGAGUCUCGAUUUCUGCUGCGACAUUCGGAUGGUAGGGUCAGAAUUUGGCGUCUACAACAUGAAAGCAUGGAUCCAUCCUGCCUUGUAUCAACGGUUCAGGCUGGUGGUGGUGGUGUCAUGGCGUGGGGAAUAUUUUCUUGGCACUCUUUGGGCCCCUUGGUACCAAUUGAGCAUCGUUGCAACGCCACAGCCUACCUGAGUAUUGUUGCUGACCAUGUCCAUCCCUUUAUGACCACAAUGUACCCAACUUCUGAUGGCUACUUUCAGCAGGAUAAAGCGCCAUGUCAUAAAGCUGGAAUCAUCUCAGACUGGUUUCUUGAACAUGACAAUGAGUUCGCUGUACUCAAAUGGCCUCCACAAUCACCAGAUCUCAAUCCAAUAGAGCAUCUUCGGGAUGUGGUGGAACGGGAGAUUCGCAUCAUGGAUGUGCAGCCGACAAAUCUGCGGCAACUGUGUGAUGCCAUCAUGUCAAUAUGGACCAAACUCCCUGAGGAAUGCUUCCAGCACCUUGUUAAAUCUAUGCCACGAAGAAUUGAGGCAGUUCUGAAGGCAAAAGGGGGUCCAACCCGUUACUAGCAUGGGGUACCUAAUAAAGUGGCCGGUGAGUGUAGAUCUGUAUAGAUAUAGAUCUAUACACACGUCUCUCUGUUCUCAUUGCAUCCGGACAGCAGCCAUCUGAGCGGGAAGUGGCUUCUUUGUUGCGUGCGGAUCUGUCAUUAGAGAUGCUUCAGGAGAACAUCUGGUGUUCUGAUGAAAAUCUUCAGCGGGCUGAUCUAUCAGAAGGAUUUGAGGAAAACCCUUUGAAACCCUCAAUCGACUCCAAUGUUCUCCUGGUUCAGACAGAAGUAGUAGAACCAGGUUUUUCUACUCCGAUGUUCUCCUGGAUCAGACAGAAGUAGUAUAGCCGGGUUUUUCUAUUCCGAUGUUCUCCUGGAUCAGACAGAAGUAGUAGAACCAGGUUUUUCUACUCUGAUGUUCUCCUGGAUCAGACAGAAGUAGUAGAGCCGGGUAUUUCUAUUCCGAUGUUCUCCUGGAUCAGACAGAAGUAGAGCCAGGUGUUUCUAUUCCGAUGUUCUCCUGGAUCAGACAGAAGUAGUAGAGCCGGGUAUUUCUAUUCCGAUGUUCUCCUGGAUCAGACAGAAGUAGUAGAGCCGGGUGUUUCUAUUCCGAUGUUCUCCUGGAUCAGACAGAAGUUGUAGAGCCAGGUUUUUCUACUCCGAUGUUCUCCUGGAUCAGACAGAAGUUGUAGAGCCAGGUGUUUCUAUUCCGAUGUUCUCCUUGGAUCAGACAGAAGUAGUAGAGCCAGGUUUUUCUACUCCGAUGUUCUCCUGGAUCAGACAGAAGGCGUAGAGCCGGGUGUCUCUACCCCAAUGUUCUCCUGGAUCAGACAGAAGUAGUAGAGCCAGCUGUUUCUAUUCCGCCAGAUAUUUGCUCUUUUUAUUUCCUCCAUUUAUUUAAUCCGAACCAGGAAGUGACCCCUAGCUGCUCGGUUCUAAUUGGCUCUUGUCUCUUUCUGUUUACGCACCCACGCAGACAAAGUAAACAAGUUAUUUUCGAUUCAGCUUUACCAAUAAAAUGAUGAUAACUAAGAUCAUUGUGACGAGACGUUUGACCCUGACUGUUGGAAGGUAAAUAAUUGCUAAGUAGUUCAAUCCUCCACAUUAGUGGAGAUUACUGAGAGUCGGUACCUUUGACCUUGAAACAAGUUUAUAAGGUUAAAGAGGCUUUUGUAGAGUUCUACAAAAGCCUCUUUAAAGUUGUGUACAAACUAACUGAGUUUCUAGUUCCUUUAUCAAACCUAAAUAAUAAAAUAAAGAAGUUGAAGUCUAAAGUUGUAGGUAUUUUUUGAUUGAGCCCUCCGGUUCUCAUCCUGCAGAGGAUUGUGUUAUGUUUUGGCGGCGAUAUAAAGCUGAGCUGGUUACUGUACAUUAUUGUUUUAUUCCAUAGAUAUAAUGUGUUUUAAUAGAAAUGCUUGUGGAAGAUACCAAUUAAAUACUAUGAUGAAAAACAUUAA